rnacentral:rRNA from 1 species
UACGUAGGGAGCGAGCGUUGUCCGGAAUUACUGGGUGUAAAGGGAGCGUAGGCGGGACUGCAAGUCAGGUGUGAAACCUAUGGGCUUAACCCAUAGACUGCACUUGAAACUGGCAGGCUUGAGUUCAGGAGGGGCAGGCGGAAUUCCUGGUGUAGCGGUGAAAUGCUUAGAGAUUACACAGAACACCGAUUGCGAAGGCAUCUCACGAAGGGUUGAUUGACGCUGAGGCACGAAAGCGUGGGGAUCAAAC